ACAAUCAGAUAUUUUUUAAAACUCUUCCUUCGUUCUUCGGUGAUCAUUAUGGAGCAGGGAGAGAGUUGAGAAACUUACACUGAACCUUUGCCCUAUCACCCAUCGAAUCUCUGCCUUCUUCGUUCUCAGCCAAGGGUUGUCAUCCUUCAUGCCAGUCACCACCACUAAAGCGCCGCCGCUGUGUCAUUUGCCACUGUUUCUGUCCAUGGGAAGAGAAGCACGCAAAAUUGGGGGUGCUGGUUGAGGGUCUGUCACUGAGCUUCACCUCCUCUGUUCGGCGUUCAAGUUCUUCUUUUCUUUCCUCAGUUCGUCCGCCACUACACAGCUUAACUGGGUUGAGAACAAGUGCUGCAAGAAAUAUACAAGCUAAGUCAAACAAAAACGAGGCUUCAUCCUCUGCACCGUUUUUCGGAUCCUUUUUCACUAUAAACAG